ACGUAAUAGAUACCCUGGUAGUCCACGCCCUAAACGAUGUCUACUAGUUGUUGGUGGAGUAAAAUCCAUGAGUAAACGCAGCUAAACGCGUGAAGUAGACCGCCUGGGGAGUACGGUCGCAAGAUUAAAACCUCAAAGGAAUUGACGGGGGUCCCGCACAAGCGGUGGAUUAUGUGGAUUAAAUUCGAUGCAACGCGAAAAACCCUUACCUGGCCUUGACAUGCCACUAACGAAGCAGAGAUGCAUUAGGUGCCCGUAAGGGAAACGUGGACACAGGUGCUGCAUGGCUGUCGUCAGCUCGUGUCGUGAGAUGUUGGGUU
rnacentral:rRNA from 1 species